UACGAAGGGAGCUAGCGUUGUUCGGAAUCACUGGGCGUAAAGCGCACGUAGGCGGAUCUUUAAGUCAGGGGUGAAAUCCUGGAGCUCAACUCCAGAACUGCCUUUGAUACUGGGGAUCUCGAGUCCGGAAGAGGUGAGUGGAACUCCGAGUGUAGAGGUGAAAUUCGUAGAUAUUCGGAAGAACACCAGUGGCGAAGGCGGCUCACUGGUCCGGUACUGACGCUGAGGUGCGAAAGCGUGGGGAGCAAACAGG
rnacentral:rRNA from 1 species